CCCUAAAUGGUGCUCAGCCUCCUAGGGGAGUCAGCGCAGCGGCGGGAAGUGCAUCCUGGCGGCCCUGGAACCCCCCAGGUCAGAGGAGAUGGCAGCUGCUCUUAAGGAUGCUGCUCUCACAAUUCUGUAAUGUUACACUCCUGGGCCAGAUCUUCUCACCUGUGAAGCUGAGCAAAGAGCAUUGGAUGGUGAAGAGUGAGGAGAUGGUAGUAAAGGAUCCAGUAUUAGAAGACUCUAUGUGAGUAAGAAUUAAUACUCAGAGGCAAGUAUGGUCUUAUCUGACUUCGUAUGCAAGU